AAUCCAUGUUGUGGGCAUGGGCUGACAAAUCCUUGAACUGCUCCCAACAUUGGAAGAAUUUUCAUCCUACUUUUAGGUGAAGUUCAUGAUUGACUUUCUAAGGGU